GCAGCCUGCAACUCGGCUGCAUGAAGCUGGAAUCGCUAGUAAUCGCAGAUCAGAAUGCUGCGGUGAAUACGUUCCCGGGUCUUGUACACACCGCCCGUCACACCAUGGGAGUUGGAAAUGCCCGAAGUCAGUGACCGAACCGAAAGGAAGGAGCUGCCGAAGGUGGAGCCGAUGACUGGGGUGAAGUCGUAACAAGGUAAC
rnacentral:rRNA from 1 species